rnacentral:pre_miRNA from 1 species
UUUGUACUCCCUCCGUUUGGAAUUACUUGUCUUGGAUAUGGAUGUAUCUAGAACUAAAAUACGUCUAGAUACAUCCAUUUCUGCGACAAGUAAUUUCGAACGAAGGGAGUAGUUC